rnacentral:lncRNA from 1 species
AAAACAGAUAUAGAAACUCAUAGGGUAUGUUACAGAGCUGGAGACUGAGCAGAUCACAGUCUCUCCUUCUGAGUACAUUAUGGGCCAGCCCAAAUCAACAUGCUCUUUAUUUGGGUACAAAGAAGAGGGUGGAUUCUGCACAGCCCUAAUCAGUACCAUCCAAUUUGUUGUUCUCUGUACAGAAGUUUCACAAAGUGAAAAUGGAGGGAAUUGGGUCCACUUAUUUCAUCUUGAGUCAUUUGGUGGCUUCCAGCAAUACACUUUCCAGAAGGUUCCAGUGUGUUCCACCCCAGAAAGUGUUUAUGAUGCAACUGGCUGUGCGGCAUGAAAGAGGAGAGUGACAUUGAACAUUUGGCAGGGCAGGAGAAAGUCCAGCUAGAAGAAAAGAAAGCAUCUAACAUAAUCCUUGUCCCUCUCUCAAUGCUGAAUUCAGAUUAU